GUGUGUAAGCGCAGCGAUGCGUUGAGCUAACCGGUACUAAUGACCCGUGAGGCUUAACCUUGCAACGCCAGAAGCGUUCUG
rnacentral:rRNA from 1 species